GUCCUCGUAGCUCAGGUGGAUAGAGCGACUGCCUCCUAAGCAGUAGGCCGCUGGUUCGAGUCCAGCCGAGGACG
rnacentral:tRNA from 1 species